UACAGAGGGGGCAAGCGUUAUUCGGAAUUAUUGGGCGUAAAGCGCGUGUAGGCGGCUUGGUAGGUCAGCUGUGAAAACUCGAGGCUCAACCUCGAGCUGUCGGUUGAAACCACCUUGCUAGAGUCCGGAAGAGGAGAGUGGAAUUCCUGGUGUAGCGGUGAAAUGCGCAGAUAUCAGGAAGAACACCAAUGGCGAAGGCAGCUCUCUGGGACGGUACUGACGCUGAGACGCGAAAGCGUGGGGAGCGAACAGG
rnacentral:rRNA from 1 species